rnacentral:tmRNA from 1 species
UCUCUAUCUAGUUUCGUAAUUAUAUUAUAUAAUUUCUAUGUUAAGUUUUUUGGAUCAAAAAUCAUAACUAUGGUAAUAGUGGAUUAUUUAGAAUAAAAGCAUUGGACUCGGGGGCAGUACCCGACAUCUCCACGCAGUAUCUUAUAAGGGGGUGAAAUUAGUUUCGACAUGCUUAGUAAAAAAAUUAUCUUUACUCAGUGUAGAUACUGCUGAUUUUGUAGUUAUUUUAUUAGCUACAUGAUAUAAGUUCAAAAAAUGAAACGCAAAAUUUAAAAAUGAGCGUUAUGAGGUUUUAGCUGCUUAAUUGCUAAUUCUUCAUGGGGUUUGAGAGCACCUUGCAACAGAAGCUCUCAUU